GUCCAUAAGGGUCAUCGGCCUUCUAAGCCGUCGGUCGGGAGUUCGAAUCUCCCCUGGGACG
rnacentral:tRNA from 1 species